GAGGCAGAGAUAGGGACCGUGCCGUGCUGCUUGGCUGACACGCAUUUCGGAGCAACACAUUCCAGCAGAUGAACCCAUUUGCACACAUUUUCAAACACCCUGGAGAUGAUUUGCUCUUCGAUUGCUCCUGAUGUCAGGCUGUGAGUCAUGGACCACUCCACGUGUGGUGAAGGACACCCCCGAUCUGUGGCACUGUGGCAGCUUGGUGAAGACCCAAAAGAAAAAGAGCCUGACUGUAGAACUGGACCCUUAAAACCAACUGAUUUCUUUGAAGGGACUUAUUCGGAAGAAAGUUAAUAAAAACUGCAUGGAAAAACCAGCAUCACAGCUAUUUUUUUUUUUUUUGCUGCCUGAAAUUCCUACAGGGAAGUUAGCUGAAUGCAAAAAGUAUGGAGAAAGAGAGAAACAUUCCAUUGGUCCUUAAAGCCCAAAGGAGUGAUUCCUUCAGUGCUGCCAUUCCAGUGGAGAUUGCAGCAAGGUCUCCUUCCAUACCAGUUGCUGCCCUGGUGUAGAUCCUCUGGCACCGAUUCCUGUCCCUGGGAGUUGCCCCAGCUUGAUGCCUGCAAGGAUGUGGGCGUGGUGAUAUUCCUUGUCAGCCAGAAGAGCAGUGCCAGCAUGAGCAGCCACCUACCAGUGCUGGAACUAGCAAAGGGUUGUAUUUUCCCCACUCCUUAUAUGACCUGCAAAACUGUGUGAAAGAUCAGCAUAAAGAAGUACUUAACCAGUUCAAA